AUGAACGCUGGCGGCGUGCCUAAUACAUGCAAGUCGAGCGAACAGACGAGGAGCUUGCUCCUCUGACGUUAGCGGCGGACGGGUGAGUAACACGUGGAUAACCUACCUAUAAGACUGGGAUAACUUCGGGAAACCGGAGCUAAUACCGGAUAAUAUAUUGAACCGCAUGGUUCAAUAGUGAAAGACGGUUUUGCUGUCACUUAUAGAUGGAUCCGCGCCGCAUUAGCUAGUUGGUAAGGUAACGGCUUACCAAGGCAACGAUGCGUAGCCGACCUGAGAGGGGGACCGGCCACACUGGAACUGAGACACGGUCCAGACUCCUACGGGAGGCAGCAGUAGGGAAUCUUCCUCAAUGGGCGAAAGCCUGACGGAGCAACGCCGCGUGAGUGAUGAAGGUCUUCGGAUCGUAAAACUCUGUUAUUAGGGAAGAACAAAUGUGUAAGUAACUAUGCACGUCUUGACGGUACCUAAUCAGAAAGCCACGGCUAACUACGUG
rnacentral:rRNA from 1 species